rnacentral:rRNA from 1 species
GUGCCAGCAGCCGCGGUAAUACGUAGGUGGCAAGCGUUGUCCGGAAUUAUUGGGCGUAAAGCGCGCGCAGGCGGUCCUUUAAGUCUGAUGUGAAAUCCCACGGCUCAACCGUGGAUGGUCAUUGGAAACUGGAGGACUUGAGUACAGAAGAGGAGAGUGGAAUUCCACGUGUAGCGGUGAAAUGCGUAGAGAUGUGGAGGAACACCAGUGGCGAAGGCGACUCUCUGGUCUGUAACUGACGCUGAGGCGCGAAAGCGUGGGUAGCGAACAGGAUUAGAUACCCUGGUAGUCC